rnacentral:rRNA from 1 species
UCGAGGAUCUUCGGCAAUGGGCGCAAGCCUGACCGAGCGACGCCGCGUGCGCGAUGAAGGCCUUCGGGUUGUAAAGCGCUGUCGAGGGGGAGGAAGCCGAAAGGUUGACCGAUCCCUGGAGGAAGCACGGGCUAAGUUCGUGCCAGCAGCCGCGGUAAGACGAACCGUGCGAACGUUGUUCGGAUUCACUGGGCUUAAAGGGCGCGUAGGCGGCAGGUAAAGUCCGGGGUGAAAUCUUUCAGCUUAACUGGAAAAGUGCCCCGGAUACUGACUUGCUCGAGGGAGGCAGGGGCCGAGGGAACUUCCGGUGGAGCGGUGAAAUGCGUAGAGAUCGGAAGGAACGCCGGUGGCGAAAGCGCUCGGCUGGACCUCUUCUGACGCUGAGGCGCGAAAGCUAGGGGAGCAAACGG